GUUCAUUGAUGGAAUCGAACGAUCGCUAGUGACAGCGGGCGAGGGCCAAGCCACUUGUCCCUUCGCCCCGCCUGCGGGGAGAAGGUGCCGGCAGGCGGAUGAGGGGCGGAUCCCUUCGACAGGCGCCGAGGUGCGGCCCCUCAUCCCGCUGCCGCGACCUUCUCCCCGUCCCUGACGGGGAGAAGGGACA
rnacentral:sRNA from 1 species